rnacentral:rRNA from 1 species
CAGUAGCCGCGGGAACACAGAGGGUGCGAGCGUUAAUCGGAUUUACUGGGCGUAAAGCGUGCGUAGGCGGCUAAUUGAGUCGGAUGUGAAAUCCCCGAGCUUAACUUGGGAAUUGCAUUCGAUACUGGUUAGCUAGAGUGUGGGAGAGGAUGGUAGAAUUCCAGGUGUAGCGGUGAAAUGCGUAGAGAUCUGGAGGAAUACCGAUGGCGAAGGCAGCCAUCUGGCCUAACACUGACGCUGAGGUACGAAAGCAUGGGGAGCAAACAGGAUUAGAUACCCCCGUAGUCCCUGUCUCUUAUAC